AGUGAACGCUGGCGGCGUGCUUAACACAUGCAAGUCGAACGAGAACGGGCUAUAGCUUGCUAUAGUUGUCAGCUAAGUGGCGCACGGGUGAGUAAUGUAUAGGUAAUAUGCCUCUUACUAAGGGAUAACAAAUGGAAACGUUUGCUAAUACCUUAUACUCCUUAUUAACAGAAGUUAAUAAGGGAAAGAUUUAUUGGUAAGGGAUUAGCCUGUAUUGUAUCAGUUAGUUGGUGGGGUAAUGGCUUACCAAGACUAUGACACAUAACUGGUUUGGGAGGAUGAUCAGUCACACUGGAACUGAGACACGGUCCAGACUCCUACGGGAGGCAGCAGUGGGGAAUAUUGCACAAUGGACGAAAGUCUGAUGCAGCAACGCCGCGUGGAGGAUGACACAUUUCGGUGCGUAAACUCCUUUUAUAUGAGAAGAUAAUGACGGUAUUAUAUGAAUAAGCACCGGCUAACUCCGUGCCAGCAGCCGCCGUAA
rnacentral:rRNA from 1 species